rnacentral:rRNA from 1 species
GAUGAACGCUGGCGGCGUGCCUAAUACAUGCAAGUCGAGCGAACGGACGAGAAGCUUGCUUCUCUGAUGUUAGCGGCGGACGGGUGAGUAACACGUGGAUAACCUACCUAUAAGACUGGGAUAACUUCGGGAAACCGGAGCUAAUACCGGAUAAUAUUUUGAACCGCAUGGUUCAAAAGUGAAAGACGGUCUUGCUGUCACUUAUAGAUGGAUCCGCGCUGCAUUAGCUAGUUGGUAAGGUAACGGCUUACCAAGGCAACGAUGCAUAGCCGACCUGAGAGGGUGAUCGGCCACACUGGAACUGAGACACGGUCCAGACUCCUACGGGAGGCAGCAGUAGGGAAUCUUCCGCAAUGGGCGAAAGCCUGACGGAGCAACGCCGCGUGAGUGAUGAAGGUCUUCGGAUCGUAAAACUCUGUUAUUAGGGAAGAACAUAUGUGUAAGUAACUGUGCACAUCUUGACGGUACCUAAUCAGAAAGCCACGGCUAACUACGUGCCAGCAGCCGCGGUAAUACGUAGGUGGCAAGCGUUAUCCGGAAUUAUUGGGCGUAAAGCGCGCGUAGGCGGUUUUUUAAGUCUGAUGUGGAAGCCCACGGCUCAACCGUGGAGGGUCAUUGGAAACUGGAAAACUUGAGUGCAGAAGAGGAAAGUGGAAUUCCAUGUGUAGCGGUGAAAUGCGCAGAGAUAUGGAGGAACACCAGUGGCGAAGGCGACUUUCUGGUCUGUAACUGACGCUGAUGUGCGAAAGCGUGGGGAUCAAACAGGAUUAGAUACCCUGGUAGUCCACGCCGUAAACGAUGAGUGCUAAGUGUUAGGGGGUUUCCUCCCCUUAGUGCUGCAGCUAACGCAUUAAGCACUCCGCCUGGGGAGUACGACCGCAAGGUUGAAACUCAAAGGAAUUGACGGGGACCCGCACAAGCGGUGGAGCAUGUGGUUUAAUUCGAAGCAACGCGAAGAACCUUACCAAAUCUUGACAUCCUUUGACAACUCUAGAGAUAGAGCCUUCCCCUUCGGGGGACAAAGUGACAGGUGGUGCAUGGUUGUCGUCAGCUCGUGUCGUGAGAUGUUGGGUUAAGUCCCGCAACGAGCGCAACCCUUAAGCUUAGUUGCCAUCAUUAAGUUGGGCACUCUAAGUUGACUGCCGGUGACAAACCGGAGGAAGGUGGGGAUGACGUCAAAUCAUCAUGCCCCUUAUGAUUUGGGCUACACACGUGCUACAAUGGACAAUACAAAGGGCAGCGAAACCGCGAGGUCAAGCAAAUCCCAUAAAGUUGUUCUCAGUUCGGAUUGUAGUCUGCAACUCGACUACAUGAAGCUGGAAUCGCUAGUAAUCGUAGAUCAGCAUGCUACGGUGAAUACGUUCCCGGGUCU